UACGUAGGGGGCAAGCGUUGUCCGGAUUUAUUGGGCGUAAAGCGCACGCAGGCGGUCUUUUACGUUUUGAGUGACAGGCGAGGGCUUAACCCUGGCAGGCCUUGGAAAACUGGAAGACUUGAGGGCGAGAGAGGGAUGCGGAAUUCCAGGUGGAGCGGUGAAAUGCGUAGAGAUCUGGAAGAACACCGAAGGCGAAGGCAGCAUCCUGGAGCGUUACUGACGCUGAUGUGCGAAAGCUAGGGGAGCGAACGGG
rnacentral:rRNA from 1 species